rnacentral:tRNA from 2 species
GGGCCGUAGUCUAGCAUGGUAGGACGCCAGCCUGGGGCGCUGGAGGGCCUGGGUUCAAGGCCAGAGCCCA